rnacentral:lncRNA from 1 species
UCAGAUUCAGAAAUAACAUCUAACUCGCUAUUAAACGUCUUCCACCCAUUCCCCUUCCCCCCUUGUUGCCUCCGGAUUUGUGGGCCAAAUGGUCUAGGAUGCACAGUGGAGUGCCUCCAUCCCUUCAAUCAUUUCCCAACAACUUUCAUCGAGGUCGGUCCUUGGGUACCACUGUAUGCACCAACGUCCAAUAAUCGUUAGUUUCUUACAAUCUUCGCGUCCCUCCUCUGCCUCGAUCUGAAUUCCUAGCUCUUCUCCUUGAUCCAACGUUUUGUAGAUCCAUUCGGGAACGUAUUCUUGGCUUGUGUCUUGUGCAGCGCGGUAGAAGAUGCAGCGCAUGAAAGAUAAGAGGGAACUUCUUUCUUCCUGCCCCUCCCCUCCCACCUUUCUAGCCCCGUCCUUCUUCCCCACUCUAUCCAUCUUGAUUUUUCUGCUCCUUCCCCCCUUUCCUCGCUCACCCUUCUUUGCAAUAUAGCCCAACGGUGCCUCUAGCAGCCGUCAUGGGAUCAGCACUUUGUUCCUUUGAACACACUUUCUAGGCCAAAUCAGAUUCUUUGGGUUAACUUGUGGUCCAACAAGAUGUUAUGCCGGUUUAUAUAAAAGUGAACAUCCGUUUAUCGCAGCCUACGUUAAGGUUUCAAUUCCUUUGGCUAUGCCAGAGGCAAUAUCUUGCAGCUUCUCCCACCCAAGGAAACGUCCUUUCCUUGCGAUUUUAAUGAUUGUUUGGUAAGAACUCAUAAAGGAUAGCUCUUCGAAAUCCAUCUGCAACAUAUCCUACCAAGCGAACCACAUUGAUAUGGUGGAUUCUACCCUUGUUCCCACUUCAUUGAGAUCAUCCCCAUUUUUUCCUUUCACACUGUUGAGAUCUUGACAGCACAUGAACAUCACUGGAAAAGCUUUCCUUUCACUUUCCAAAACCACUUCGCCUCUUUUCUGCAACUGAUUCGUAAUUUUCCUUAGAUACUGCAUAAGAGGUAUCUUGCCGGCUUGAGAGCUUCAUAAUCCUCAAAAAUCUUGUAAUUCUUCACUGAUCCUCUGUUUCUUUAUUUUGCUUUAUUUCUGUAGACAAGAUAUAUUGCAACGACAACUACAACAAAAAGAGACAGAACUCAGCACCAAACCUGCAAUUCAAAAUUUUCCAAUUACCAAGAGUCAAAAAAGGCUGGCCUCCUCAUCACACUGGAUAAUUGAAAUAAGGGAGGGUAGAAACUUCACCUGCAACCGUUAGUUUUCCUCGUCGGAUCUGUAAAAAAAUUUGAAGACUUGUUACACUACCCCACUUGUAGAAAGUUCAAUUACUAUCAUGUUUUUAUAUCAAACAAGAAAGAUUGCAAUUAAACAAAAGAAGUACAUCCAACAAGUCUAUUAAUUUGGAGGUCCUUUUACGUACAAUAAUAUGGGUUUCAAGAACGGGAUCCUCAUAAUCGAUUCAAAUACUAACCAAGGAAGAUUCAGCAUGCUUGCGAGAACAUAUAUGGGACAUGCAAGAAUAGUACCUUAGUUUUUAGUUUUUUGGCUUGUCAAAGCCCAUUCAGUUUCAUGUUCCCUGCUGUUAUGUGCCUAAUCUACAAUACUUGCCUACUACGUCACAGUUUCCCACAAGUCGCUUUGUCCCAAUUCAGUGGAAGAAUACCAAUGUCCCGAUUCUCAGUAUUUCCCAUGGAAGUGUCCUGUCAUACUCUUCCUGCAAAGUAAUUGGGGCGAAUCGUAGAAGAUUGGGCAUAAACUUGUGAGUGGGGUCGCCAUGCACGCAAUCUGAAAUCCAAUAUAAGCUGUUUCUCCCUGGGGAAGUCGAGAUUUGGGACAAUUGAGGAAGUUAAUUUUGUUGUUCCAGUCGUACCUGUGUGGUAGUCGUUACUUUUGCGAAUUGGAAGGAUAGAUUACACUGAGGUUUCGAAGAGUCUGGAAGCAGCCAUGGGUCUUAGAGACGUAUAUCGUCUGAGAUUGUAGUUGAUGAUUUGUUGCCGAUACAUUGACGGAUAAGGGAGCUCAGCCAGGGUGUUUUUUACUUUGACAGUAACCAGAAAGUCAAAUCCGGGCUAGCCACGUGCUUUUGCUGAUGCGCUUUUAAGCCGGAAAGGAAAGCGGAUUGUUGGUGCCAUUGUUCCUGCACCUUGUGGGCUGCACUUCUCAUCCGCCUGUUCUGUUACUGCCAUAUUUGUCCUGUCAUAUGAGAGGAGGAGCAGGAGAUGAUUGGGAAGUAAGCAUCUUUUUUGGGAAUUUGUCUCUGGAAGUUUACCCGACAGAGAUAAGAGAGUCUCGAAGGGAAGGUAAGUUCACAAUUUCCUACUCUUUGGAGAACAAACAUAAUUUAGCUUAGCUGAAAUGAAAGAAUUUCAUUGAGGAGCCCUUUUGGUUUAGUCCAUGGCCGAGUGUCAGGUCCCUAGCCUUCAUUGACUGACUUGUGCAAUAAUUUCAGAUCAAAAAACGUUGUUAGCCACAUGUUUAGUCGUUGUGCAUCCCAUUCCACACGGUGGUAUUGAGUCAUGAUGUUGCUUCU